UGCGUAGGCGGAUUAAUAAGUCAGUGGUGAAAUCUUUCGGCUCAACCGAGAAACUGCCAUUGAUACUGUUAAUCUUGAGUUCGGUUGAGGUAGGCGGAAUGUGUAAUGUAGCGGUGAAAUGCUUAGUUAUUACACAGAACACCAAUUGCGUAGGCAGCUUACUAGACCGACACUGACGCUGAGGCACGAAAGCGUGGGGAGCGAACAGGAUUAGAUACCCUGGUAGUCC
rnacentral:rRNA from 1 species